ACCUGGAAGAGCUCAGCAGUCUGAAGCGUGGCGGGAAAAGACAGGAUUCUGGGCUAGAAAGGGUGUGGAAGACUGCAGAAGAAGGCUGCUGAGUUCUGGUCGGUGGUGGAAGGAGGGAACGCAUUUAAAGGGGCCAAGGCCCAGAAUAAGGUAGACAUUUAAAGGGACAGGUGCCCCAAAGAGAAGAAACAUAUAAAUAUAAAAGUGCAGAUGCCCUGGAUAGAGCCGACCCUAGAAGAACCGAGCUCUGCAGGCAGAAGACAUUUUUAACUGGUAGGUUCGGGAGAGAAGGACAUUUUAAUAAAGGAGACUAGGACGGAGCAUAGAAGACAUUAAAAGAGGUAUGGGCUAGAGUUUAAGAACACGUUUACUAAACGGACAGGGAUAAAGGAGUCGAUUGUCAAGGGCCUGAUGAGGAAAACUAUGCACUCCUCCUCUUCCCCAUUGUCCUUUCUGGCUCCUCCAGGUUCCCUCCACCCCGGAAUCCCUGUUCCCAAGCUAUGACCCCCAGUGCCCUGUAGACCUGGCGGGCCCCCAGUGCUUGCGACCCCUAUUUGGGGGUCUGGGUGGCUACUGGAGGGCCUUCCAGAGGGGCAGAGAAGGCAGGACCAUGGCAUCUAGGGCCUCUGAACCUCCGCCAGGGCGCAACGUGACAGCGGGCAUCAUCAUUGUUGGAGAUGAGAUCCUCAAGGGACACACUCAAGACACCAACACCUACUUUCUGUGCCGGACACUGCGUUCCCUGGGGGUCCAGGUGUGCCGAGUCUCCGUGGUACCCGACGAGGUAGCCACCAUCGCAGCUGAGGUCACAGCUUUCUCCAGCCGUUUCACCCACGUCCUCACAGCAGGGGGCAUCGGCCCCACACAUGAUGAUGUGACCUUUGAGGCAGUGGCCCAGGCCUUUGGGGACGAGCUUAAGCCACACCCUGAGCUGGAAGCGGCCAUCAAGGCCCUAGGAGGGGCGGGCUGGGAGAAACUGUCGCGGGUGCCUGCCUCUGCCCGCCUGCAUUAUGGCACAGAUCCUCGCACUGGCCACCCCUUCCGAUUCCCACUAGUCUCCGUCCGAAAUGUCUACCUCUUCCCGGGAAUUCCGGAGCUGCUGCGUCGGGUGCUGGAAGGGCUGAAGGGGCUGUUCCAAAACACAGCUGUUCAGUUCCACUUGCGGGAAAUGUAUGUGGCAGCUAACGAGGCCUCUAUCGCCCCCAUCCUGGCUGAGGCCCAGGCCCAUUUUGGGCGCAGGCUUGGCCUGGGUUCCUACCCUGACUGGGGCAGCAACUACUAUCAGGUGAAGCUGACACUGGACUCGGAGGAAGAAGGGCCCCUGGAGGAAUGCCUGGCCUACCUGACCGCCCGUCUGCCCCAGGGAUCAGUGGUCCCCUACGUGCCCAAUGCCGUGGAGCAGGCCGGUGAGGCCGUGUACAAACUCACUGAGUCAGGUAGGGGCCUUCUGGGGAAGGGGCAGAAGGCACCAGACCACUGGUGCCACCCUAGGUCUUAGGAGUGGUGGGCUGUUGGAGGCUUGCCGCAGAUCCAAGAGAAGGUAGAAGAUAGCUACAGCAGAUUCAUUCAUUCUUCCAAUAAACAUCAAUUGAGUACCUCCUUUCAGCAACAUUGUGCUGGGUGUUGGGGGUUUAGCUCAACAGGACAGAGGUACCCUUGCUCUGGACAAGUAGUUUUAUUUAACAGGAGAGGGGGAUGUUAAAAAGGUAAUUGUGCAAAAAAAAAAAGGUAAUUGUGCAUGAGGGGUCAGUGAUGAGGGGGUUUCCACAGCAGGGAGAUUAGCCUUGAUCUGGGGUCAGAGAAGGCUUCCCUGCAUGACUGACAUAUAAGCUGAGUGAUAAGGAGGAUUUUCACAUGGCGCUAGUGGUAAAAAACCCCCCUGCCAAUGCAGAAGACUUAAGAGACACAGGUUCGAUCCCUAGGUCAGGAAGAUCCCCUGGAGGAGAGCAUAGCAAUCCACUCCAAUAUUCUUGCCUGGAGAAUCCAGUGGACAGAGGAGCCUGGCGGGAUACAGUCCGUAGGGUCACAAAGAGACACAACUGAAGCGACUUAGCACACACACACGCAAGAAGAAUUUGGUUAGACCAGGAGAUGAGCAAGAGGAAACAGUGUGAAAGAGGGAAGGAAACAGCAGGAGCUUUAGGAGAAUGAAAAGAAACCAGGACCCCCAGAGGGAAUACACUGAGGUGAAGAAUACCGUGAGGGUCUUCUCUGGGGGAGAAGGUGGCAGGCGCCCUCCAGACCAUUGAGACUGCCCUGGCUCGAUACAGCCUCACCCAGCUCUGCGUGGGCUUCAACGGGGGCAAGGACUGCACUGCCCUCCUGCACCUCUUCCA